rnacentral:lncRNA from 1 species
AAGGCUUCACCAAGAGUCUUAAUGCCUUCAACGUAGGCGAUGACUGCCCAGUGUUUCCCGGGCUCUUUGAGUUCUGCUCGCGUUACACAGGCGCAUCUCUGCAAGGAGCAACCCAGCUGAACAACAAGGUGACAUAGUCCCGAGUCCUGUUCUUCCUUUCCUCUGGAUCCCUGGACUCGGGAUUUAACCCUGAUCCUGGGCUCCCAGCUUGAGGGGUGGGCAGGAAGGACUGUGACUUAGGUGUUUGUCUUUCAGAUCUGUGAUAUUGCCAUUAACUGGGCUGGUGGUCUGCACCAUGCCAAGAAGUUUGAGGUGAGUGAGGAGGUGAUGGGAAAGACAGUGGCCAUCCUAGGGUAGGUGUUUAGGAUGAUGGUGGGGGGCAGCUGGGAGGGGAAUUGCUCUUCUCUUUAUGAGACCACUGUCUUGCCAUAGGCCUCUGGCUUCUGCUAUGUCAACGACAUUGUGAUUGGCAUCCUGGAGCUGCUCAAGUACCACCCUCGGGUGCUCUACAUUGACAUUGACAUCCACC